rnacentral:rRNA from 1 species
ACUUGUGACCAGACUUGGGCCGGGCGGCUCAUCAGGGGUUCUCCCCUGUGCACUCCGCCCGGCACAGGCCAGCAUCGGUUCUCGUGGGGGGAUAAGACCGUCAGGAACGUAGCACCCUCCGGGGUGUGUUAUAGCCUGGCGGACGAUACCCCCGUGGGGACCGAGGUUCGCGCUCCGCAAGGAUGCUGGCGUAAUGGUCACCAGUGA